UCCUACGGGGCGCAGCAGUAGGGAAUCUUCCACAAUGGACGAAAGUCUGAUGGAGCAACGCCGCGUGAGUGAAGAAGGGUUUCGGCUCGUAAAGCUCUGUUGGUAGUGAAGAAAGAUAGAGGGAGUAACUGGCCUUUUUUUGACGGUAAUUACUUAGAAAGUCACGGCUAACUACGUGCCAGCAGCCGCGGUAAUACGUAGGUGGCAAGCGUUGUCCGGAUUUAUUGGGCGUAAAGCGAGCGCAGGCGGUUUUUUAAGUAUGAUGUGGAAGCCUUCGG
rnacentral:rRNA from 1 species